rnacentral:rRNA from 1 species
GACAGAGGAGCCAAGCGUUGUCCGGAUUGACUGGGCGUAAAGCGCACGCAGGCGGCCGUGCACGUGGGGUGUGAAAGCUGGCGGCUUAACUGCCAGACGCCACCUCAUACGGCACGGCUCGAGCCCGUGAGAGGUCCACGGAAUUGCCGGUGUAGUGGUGAAAUGCGUAGAGAUCGGCAGGAACACCCAGGGGGAAACCAGUGGACUGGCACGGUACUGACGCUCAGGUGCGAAAGCGUGGGGAGCGAACCGG